GAAGAUUCAAUAUCAGUAGAUAAUAGAUAGAACUUGACUGGCAGUCAAGAGGUCGUGGGUUCGAGUCCCAUCUUCUCCA
rnacentral:tRNA from 1 species